rnacentral:rRNA from 1 species
ACUCCUACGGGAGGCAGCAGUGGGGAAUAUUGCACAAUGGGCGCAAGCCUGAUGCAGCCAUGCCGCGUGUGUGAAGAAGGCCUUCGGGUUGUAAAGCACUUUCAGUCGUGAGGAAGGUAGUGUAGUUAAUAGCUGCAUUAUUUGACGUUAGUCGAACAGAAGAAGCACCGGCUAACUCCGUGCCAGCAGCCGCGGUAAUACGGAGGGUGCGAGCGUUAAUCGGUAAUUACUGGGCGUAAAGCGCAUGCAGGUGGUUUGUUAAGUCAGAUGUGAAAGCCCGGGGCUCAACCUCGGAAUUGCAUUUGAAACUGGCAGACUAGAGUACUGUAGAGGGGGGUAGAAUUUCAGGUGUAGCGGUGAAAUGCGUAGAGAUCUGAAGGAAUACCGGUGGCGAAGGCGGCCCCCUGGACAGAUACUGACACUCAGACUGCGAAAGCGUGGGGAGCAAACAGGAUUAGAUACCCU